ACCGGAAGUUGGGCUUGAAGCCGGAGAAGCACUGUGCCAGGAGAGGGGGAGCGGGCAGCAUGCCGUGCGCAUGCGCAUUGGCUGGGGGCGGGGCGGAGUGGGAGUGGCUGUUGAGGUGGUGGCUGACGGCCUGAGGGGGUGGGCUGGGGUUGUAGUCUACGGCGAAGCGCCCCCUCUAAAGAGGGAUGGGUUUCUAUGCUGGAUGCUGUUUUGCUCAGGAGGGUGGGCCCGUCUCAACGUAAAUCCCUGCUAUACGUUACUGUGUGACUGUGGGCGUCAUCCUGCUCAAGCUCUGAUCGACACUGCACUGUGCUGCAUUGCAUUCCCAUCACAUCUGGGGCAAAUCUCAGCAGUAGCAAGCGUGCUGCUGGUUUGGAGGCUGCCUGAUAAAGACCUGCGUUUUCCAUUUGGCUUUUGAGCGAAGUUCUGCCUCAGUUCCUCAUUUCAGUUUUGAAUGUGAGGAGAAAUACACUCAGGAACAUCUUUGUUUUUUGCAUGCCCAGAGCCUUUCCCUGCAGGAGGACCCACUCUGACCAUCCCAAAUGUCUGACGGCUCUGGGGCCAUUGCUGGGCCUGUGCUGAAUGAAUGUGAUCCCCAGGGGUGACCUGGGAGAGAGCAGGGGCCCAUUUCCUCAGGGUGAAGUGCAGCAGGCAAGGCCUGCAGGCAUUGCUUUGCUGUGUGUAAGGCAGUUUUCCUCUCACAAACUUGAAGCAGUUUGGACUGCAUUCAUGAUGAAGGUCACCACAUCCGCCAUUCAUAGCAGAGCAUAGUAUUUGGCUGUCCUUCAGCAUCUGUGGCAUGUCAACCUGCUGGAGAUGGUAGCAGGUGGGUGAAGGACAGAAAAAUCACUAAAUAAAGUGACCUUUCUUCAAGGAUAUGCUUCCAACUUGCAAUUUCUCUAGUGCUAGCAUUCUUGAACAGUUACUUUCCAUAACUGCCAUGCACUUCAGUGCCUGUGCUAGAGCUGUGGGAGUGGUGUGUUGAAUUUCACUGAUAAAACUUUUCGAGAGUCUGCACUGUGAGCUAGCUCAGUGAAAUAAUCUGUGUUAACGGAACCAACCGUGUUUAUAGCACAGCCUCCCCAUAGAAUUGCAUUGACAAACCAGAGGGAUAUGCUAACAGAUAAGCAUAACGCUGAAGCACACCCUAAGCAUGCAUCAAAAGUCUCCAUAUUCAACAGAAAAACAUUCCUCUGUUUCUUUGUCCAUUAUGUGAUUGCUUUUGAAUGACACAUCCAAUCAACACUGGAAUGUUUUCUGAAAGUUUGGGAUGGAAGGACAACGCCCUAUUUUGGUGAAAGUCAGUAAACUAGAAGAGUAGGGGAGACACGUAGUAUUCCUGGCAGCUGCUUGGCAGACCUAGCAGCUCUGAACAACUCUGUAAUUUUCCUGGCAGUUAUUUGCAUUUCAUAUAACUACCUCCAUCUCAAUUCCAGUUCAAGUAUGUUGACGCCCUGAAUAAUUCCUACAGAAGAGAAAAAAAUCCAAAAAAAAAAAAAAAAAAAAAGGAAAAACAAAUGGAGUUACUUGAGGUUCCUGAAGUACAGAGAAUGAGAGCUCAAUAUACAGGGAAAUUGCAGGUAAUAGGCAGAGGAAUGGGCCUACUGCAGCAACACGGGCAUGUUUACUGGGUAUGUCAGCAUCGGGUCACUGCCUGAGCUAGCCUGAGUUGUUCAAUAUUUCAGCAAUCCAGUGAAACGUGUAGGACAGGUAGAACCAAAAAGUGCAGAUCUAGUGACGUGCACAUCUCCACUCAUGUAAUAGCUGAUCUGAGUAAUUCUGAAUCCAUUAAAAGCUGGCAAAACUAUGUGUAUUUUAACCUGGAGAGAGGGAAAGUAUGCACAGCAUUGUGUAACAUUUGGCCAGAAAUGUGAAGGUGACAGGACUUAAAGGAAGUCCUCAGGAAAUAUAUCUACCUGCGUAGGACUACAUCUUGAUAAAAGAGGCUGUAGGUGGGUUUCUGGCUUCAGUGUUGGUGGUGGUAUGUGUGAUCUGCCACUUCCUGCAACAGAUGCGAGAUCAGUGAAACACAAAAUGGAAGGGAAAAACAGAGUUCAUAAAAAAUCAGAAGAGAUGAGAAAAGUAAGUGGCUGUUCUGCUACCAGAGGCUGCAGUCAAGGGGAAAAACAAGGAAAUUAGAUAUUUAAUUAGAUCUAAGCAAACACAAUAAAAGCCUGUGUGGCAAAUGAAUAGAAUCGUAGAAUGGCUUGGUUUGGAAGGGACCUCAAAGAUAUCUAGUUCCAACCUCCUGCCAUGGGCAGGGUUGCCAGUGACAAAAUCAGACCCUAGAACAACGGCCAACGGCCCCAGUUAUUUCACUUCUAGCUCUUCUGUUCAUAAACUUAAACUAACCUUUUCUUCUGAGCACUUUUUUGGAAAGUCCCCUGCAAUGACAUUGAGUUUGACAGCUGUUAUGCUUCUAAUGUCAGGUGUCGAGUCUCCUACCCCUUGUAUAUCAGACAGCCUGGGGCAGUAGCAUUAACAGAGGUUUUUGGAGAUAUCUUGGCCCAGGCUGUCUGCAGGAAUCCGAGGUUACUGACAAGCAGUGUUGGGAUACAACCUAUGAAGAGCUCUUUCAUUGGGAAAAAAUAAAAAUCCUGCCCUCUAAACUUCUUUGCUGUGUCCCUUAAGUGAAUACUUUAACAGGGUUGACUCACCAGGCAAACUGCUGUCCAUAUCUGCCUUGUGGGAGUAUCCUGCCCAUCCUGCUCCAAAGCCUGCAAGUAUAGUGACACAAAUGCAAGCAGGUGGUCCCAGAAGCCACAGUCUACCCAUGUAGGGGAAGGUACUGUUUUGUGACUAUGUGGCCUAAUGAGAUGCCCCAAAGACAGCAAGAGAUUAAUGGCAUAACAUAGUUGGUGACUAUGACUAAUGAGCAAUAGUGAGAUAUUUUAAAGACACCUGUGAAAGGAAAAAAAAAAUGACUUGGGCUUCUUCCAGCUGGCUCAGAUGCUAAAACUAAGCCUAAUUAAUUUGCAGUGUUAAUGGUGAUUGCUUGUUUUGUUUUUAUUGCAAUAGUAAUAAAAUUUGACUUCUGUGUUUCGUUAGAAAUUUCCUGUGCUCAUGGCUAUACAGCCUACAGUUAUGUAUCUCCUAAAAUUUUUCAGUCUUUAAAAUAACAUUAACAAAAGCAAGCAAUAUAUAUCAAACCUGCUUCCUUAUUGGAAUUACGCUGCUUAUGUGAUGUCAUGUAUAUAAUUAUUGAAUCAUACGCAGCCAUCAAGAAGUGGGAAACAAAAGAUCACCACACUGUCGUUGUUACUCUGCGGUUGUGUUCAAAUUCAACUCAGUGCACACAGAUCUGAAAUUCGAAGGAAAAAAUAAAUGGACGGAGCACUCAGCAUGCUGGGGAGCGAGAGACAUCCAUGGAAGGUGCUGAGCUAUCUCAGAGUUUUUGGAAGCUUCCCUGCUUUUUCCCCAUCAGUGUGUUAAAGAGGAAAUCCCCCUUACAAAUCUCCCCUCAGAGGGGCAUGUAAGGGACCAAAACCAUCUUAACCAGAGCCAGCAGCACAGGAUACCCUGUGGUACUGAACUUUGAUUCACAUACCACAAUGAAUGAAAGACGUGAUGGGAAACCUGAGCUGAAGAGAGCAGGAACGUAUGAGCAGUGCAAUUUUGGUCUUCUGGAAGUAUCAUUUCUGGGCACAUUCUGAGAAAUGCAUGUACAUCCAGACCAGGAAAGUGAAAACCUCCAAGUCUUUUCAAAGGUUGUGCUGGACUGGAAACAACGGAGAACGGUUAUCUGUGUUUCAGGAGUGAAAUUUUAGGGUAUGUAAAGCUAUUUGACCUGUUCUGAUAUGCUUAAAGAGUUUACAUAUCCUUUGGGUAUAAAGAGAUAUCUUUGACUUCUACACCUAAUUAUGGAAUACAUCAAAAAAAAAAGUCAACCAAGAAUGUAUUAUUUCUGGUUCCAUUACAUGAAAUGUAUGAUUGACAAUUGUAAAAUGUAUUUGUAAAGAAACAUGUAAUUGAUUACUGCCUCCAGGCAUGAGGAGAUUUAUGCACUAAAAGUUUCACACAGGUUUUUGCUUGACUAUUGCUGUACCAUUCAUGCAGAACAUAUGUACCUAUAAUGACAGCUUCUAGUGUACAUUCUUCUAAAAUAGUCCUGCUUUCCAAGGGUUAAAUGGUCACUGUUUCCUGAUGUUAAUAUCUUUACAUCUACAAAAUUGCAGUAAUUUAAUUUUAUAUUGUAUAUUUGCAUUUAUAAAUAAUUAUAAAUAAAUAGAAGUAAGUAUAAGUAAUUAUAACAUAACUAUAACAUGUCUAUAAUAAAUAUUAUACAUAAAUAUAUGACUUUAUACAAUAAAUAUGAUAGGUAUGAAUGUAUUAUAAAUACAUUUAAACUAAUAUUUAUAAAUAACAUCCUGCUGUUAUAUUUUUUUCUUUCAAAAAUAUUAUAUAUUAUAAAAAGAUCAAAUGUAUGCGACAGCUUCAUUUUAUGUCACCAGACAGUUCGUUAGAGGAUGAAGAUAGAAAUGGCAAUGCUCAUGAAUAGGGUUUUUUGUUUUUUUGUUUUUUGUUUUGCUUGAAUUAUGCUAAAAUCUGAUUGCUUUCAUUAUUUCUUGUCAAAACGAGUUUCUCAGUGAAGCUGUGACUGUGUGCAGUGCUCUUUGUCCUGCAAUUGGAGCCAGGAGCUUUUCUGCUGACAUCUGCUCUGAAGUUCUUAAUGUAAAUGGAAGUGUACUUUGAUUGGAUUUGCAUAUUGUAGGGCUGAUAUUAAUGGAUUUCAGACGUUGCACAGCUACAAGAACUGCAAAACCAAGAGAAUGUGUCAGCUCCAACAAUCCACCCUUGGGAUGCGAUUGGCUGCCACAGCUCUGUGUGAAUAAAAUGUUUGUUAUUUCAGCAAUGAACUCCUGGGUUUCCUGGACUUUGUUGGUAAGUAUGGGUCCUAACACUGAAGUCUGACUAUAUAAAUUGAAAUCAGGCUAUAAAAAGAACUCAAAGGACUAAAGAGAGAACACGGGAAAGCAUGCCAUCAGAAUAUUUGGAACUUUUAUUUCAAGGAGGGUGUUUGUCAUUUCAAGAAUAUUUGGUAGUUUUUUAACUGCUUAUAGAAGCUUAUCCUAUAACUUAGGGGUCUUUUUAUCUGCAAAAAUUUACAUAAUCAUAAAGUUAAUUAGCUAUUUCACACCUCUUCAAAAACAAUGGAUGUAAAAGAGCUGCAAAGAUCCCACUCUCAAUGGGAUGGCUCAGUACUCCCUCUACCCCUGUAAAGCAUGAUGUAGAGCCUGGAAAAAAAAGCUGUACAUGGUAGAAGAUUGAGGAAGUGUAUGACAGCCUGAAAGGAUGGGCAAUGGGUGACCAAACUGACACUAGAAAUGGGGCUGCACUAAUGCUUGAAGCAGGAAGCUUAAUGAUCUGAUGGAAUUUUAAGCUGAGGUGAAGAUAGGACAGGUGAAUGCAGCAAAGACGUAGAGGAGACAUGGAAAAGGUGAUUGGAGUUAUGUAUGCCAUCUGUCAAUCAUUUUGCAGUUCUGAGACACUUUUGUUUUGAGAAGAGGUUUUGAGACACUGCGGAUUUGUUAUUGCUUUAAGCCAAGUGUUUCUCACUACCUAAGUGGCUAUUAUCAAUGAUUUGCUUCCCUGAUUUAUUUCUUUUCAUUCAUAUCAUUUUCUGUUCACUUUUUGGGUUUGGUAUUUCUAUAAUAAAUUUGGUAUGAAAAAGAAGCUGGAGAAAUUGGAAACAUUUGCAGUCAGUUUCAAGCUCACUGAGUAAGCAGCACUCACAUAGUGUGUUUUAUUCCAAGGACACACAAUGUUUUUACUCUGUAUGUUUACUUAACCUGCUAUCUAGCAAAUGGUAUUGACUUCCAUCAUGCCAUAUCCAACAUGCAUUAAUAUGAUGUACAAGAAAUUUGGAGUGUGCUUUUUAUAUCAUCCUGGCAUAAUAUAUUGAACAUAUGACUAACUGUAACAUUUGUGACACAGACUGCUGAAAUAACAUUUGUUGACAUCCCUUCUGGAGCUAAACAGCCCCAAGUCUCUCAGCCUUUCCUCAUAACGAAGAUGCUCCAGGCCCCUCAUCAUCUUUGUAGUCCUUUGCUGGAUUCUCCAGUAGUUCCCUGCAUUUCUUGAACUGAGAGGUCCAGAACUGGACACAGAACUCCAGAUGCGGCCUCAUCAGGACAGAGCAGAGGGGGAGGAUCACAUCACUCACUGUUCAUUCAGCUAUCCCACAAUUCCUAGUCUUACCUAUGAGAAUGUUAUGGGAGACAGUGUCAAAAGCCUUGCUGAACUCAAAGUGAGCAACAUCCACUGUUCUCCCCUCAUCUACCCAACCAGUGAUGACCAUCACAGAGGGCUACCAGACUGGUCAAGUGUGAUUUCCUCCUUGUCAACCUAUGUUGACUACUCCUGAUAAUCUACUUCUCUUCCACUUGCUUGGAAAUGACAUCCAGGAUAAAUUGUUCCAUCACCUUCCCGGGCAUGGAGAUGAGGCUGACUGGCCUGUAGUUUUCUUGGUUACUCCUCCUUGCCCUUUUUGAAGACCAGAAUGACAUUGGCUUUCCUCUGGUCUUCAGGCAUCUCUCCAUGACCUUUGAUAGAUGGUUCAGCAAUCAGUUCUGCCAGCUACAUCAGCACUCGUUGGUGCAUCCCAUUGGGGCCCAUGGAUCUGUGUGUGUCAAGUUUGCCUAGAUGCUCACUGGUCAGAUUCCUUGACCAAGAAUAAAUCUUCCUUUCUCCGUACUCUCUCUCUUCUCAUCAUCUCCUUCUCAGCUACUGCAACAUCCUUCUCUCCAACACUUGGCAAUUACAGAUCUACACCAUUGUUCUUCUCUACAACAUAACGACUUCCUUUUUGCAUCCAGCAAAGUUAUAUGAGUUGUCACAAUAAACACAAAGGAUUUUAUUUUUUAGUGCUUUGCAUUACUUUAAGAGACAUUAUCCUUUCUCUUCCUCUUUUACACUUUCAGCGGAUCCCUACUUGCUUCUACUCUCUCAGUGAUGUAAAUCACAAUCCACUGACUAUUCUUCACACUUUUUCUGUUUUCUCCUAAUCAGUCUUUCAUGCUUCAAGACAGCAUGUUUAAAACACCUGUGAAGGCCAUUGCUCUAUUCUGUCAUCUCCUUCUGUCACCAGGAUGUCUACCAAACUGGCAACAGCUAGGAGCAAGUGAACUGAUACACUCCCUUUUGGGUGGAUCACUGUGUUAUGGUUAUGGCCUUGGGCUCUCCAUCUAUCAGUCAUAUUCCCACAUUUUCUCUUAUUUUAGGAUGUAAUUAGCUGCAACGUUUCUUCCUGUGGCAAAGAUGAUUAACAAAAAACGUGCCAUUUGUUACACCCAAGAAAAACAUAAAGCCAGAUGACACCUUCAUACUGUAUGUUUUUUAGGCAGAGACCAUCUUUUUGUUCCAGAUUGGUACGGCAUUUUGUGAAGUGCUACAUCAAUUUAUGACUACCACUGCUGGCUGCUACUGCAAUGCAGGUCAUUUUGGUAGCAAAAUC